rnacentral:rRNA from 1 species
GGCUCAGAUUGAACGCUGGCGGCAGGCCUAACACAUGCAAGUCGAAUUGGAACUAGGAAACAGCUUGCUGUUUCGCUGACGAGUGGCGGACGGGUGAGUAAUGUCUGGGAAACUGCCUGAUGGAGGGGGAUAACUACUGGAAACGGUAGCUAAUACCGCAUAACGUCGCAAGACCAAAGAGGGGACCUUCGGGCCUCUUGCCAUCAGAUGUGCCCAGAUGGGAUUAGCUAGUAGGUGGGGUAACGGCUCACCUAGGCGACGAUCCCUAGCUGGUCUGAGAGGAUGACCAGCCACACUGGAACUGAGACACGGUCCAGACUCCUACGGGAGGCAGCAGUGGGGAAUAUUGCACAAUGGGCGCAAGCCUGAUGCAGCCAUGCCGCGUGUAUGAAGAAGGCCGUUCGGGUUGUAAAGUUACUUUCAGCGGGGAGGAAGGGAGUAAAGUUAAUACCUUUGCUCAUUGACGUUACCCGCAGAAGAAGCACCGGCUAACUCCGUG